GUGUCCGCCCCACUCCUCCCGACGGUUCCAUGACCCUUCCUCCGCUCCCGCUCCGUCCCCACUCCUCCCCGACGGUUCCAUAACGAGCUCGAGCGCCGAGCGCUCCGGCCUCGUCCGCGCCUCGCUCCAGCUCCGACCUCCUCCGCGUCUCUCCAGCUCUGACCUCCUCCGCGCCUCUCCAGCUCCGGCCUCCCCCUCACGCACUGUGCCUCUCCGCCGCGACGGAGCCCGAGGUCGAGCUCUGCCCCACCUCCGACCUCUCCCGCGCGUCGUGCCUCUCCGCCACGCCUCUCCAGAUCCAGCCUCCAUCUCGCGCCGCUGUGCCUCUCCACAACGCUUGCCCGACGGUUCCUCACCGACGAUCUGCUCAGGUCGCGCCCCCUCUCGCGCGGCAGCUCCUCGCCCCCCCCCCCCCCCCCCCCCCCAUAAUAGGCGCUAGCCUCCUCCAGCCCCUCUCCGCGCUGGCUCCCCUCGCAUUCGGCCUGCUCUCCGCGCGUCGUCAGCCUCGACCCGUUCGGCCUAUGAGAUCCGACCGCCUCGACGUCUGCUGGGCACCACGAGCACCACUGUGUCGAGCCGCACCUCCACCACCUCCUCAAGUCGCUGAAGCCCCGCCGGAGGAGCGCCCCCACGAACAGCAACUCCGGCCGUCGGGCACCACGAAAUUCCGGCCGUUCCCAUGGUCCUCCACUGUCGGUGCGGCAUCCUCGGAUCCACCCUCGCCCUCGAGGCCGAUACGGCAGCAGCCCAGGUGCCGAGGCGUCGUCGCAGGCGGCAUGCUGAACAGAGCCGCCUAGGCAGAGCCGCGGCCGGUGAAGACGGUGGCCUGCACGGCGGCAAGCGACGCCAGCACACCAUCGCCGGGUCUGCAAUGACACAUUUCUCCCCGACGAGCACGCCAACUACGCUGCCCUGCCCCUCUGCGCCCUGCAACACAGACCCAGGCACUGUGUAGGAGCUCGUCACCACGUCGCCCACCAAGCGCUCGACAGAUUGCCUCAGCCAGGUGAUCAGUUGCAGUGUGAAGGCUACAAUUGAGAGGUACAAGCUAAGAAGGCACAUGCCGUUGGAUCGUCGUCAUCUGGAGCCCCAUUCUUAGAGCUCAACGCCCAGGUAAUAAUUCUCACAGUUAAACAAAUAUGGUGCUUAUUUUAUGAGUUGCAUACACUAAAGUCAAUGCAACCACAUGUAUUUCUCCACCUUCAAACAUUCUAAGUAACCUGGACUAUAUGGCGGAGCUAUAAUCUAUUUUGUAAGUAUAAGAUCCUUUAAACUAAUUUACGGGUCCUGACUAUAUGGCGGAGCUAUAUCUUGAGCCUACUGUUUUUAAACAUUUAUGGAUUUAGCCAUUACAGAGUGAAUAUAUGUCUUGCUAUAGAACGUGCUACUCCAGUCAUGCUGUAUUGAGUUCAUUGUCCUUGCAGCAAAAUGUACUGUAACUCGCAAAAUAUUUGAAAAACCUUCAGUCUUGGUAAAGAUCACAUCAAUUUCAGUUCUCUGUAACUUGUUUAGGCACUUUCCAGAUAGCCUUGCACACUGGUAGCCAUGGCUUGUGUUCUGCUAGAAUGUUGCUUUGCUAAUCUUGUCUUGGUGAUCCAAGUUAAAUCUUGCUUCGUUAGACACAGCAUCUCUCUGUAUUAUGUGGUGCCAUUUAUUAUUAGGUUCUCUUCUCGGAUGUUAAUUGUCAUGAACUUUUCUGUUAUGAAAACUUCAACUCAUAUAGUGACAUGAUUUCUUAUCAAGUAUAGCAAACAAAGUUCAGUAGUUGAGACCUUAAUGAUCAGAAUGUUCAGAAAGCUUACCUUGUUACUCCAAUCACCAUAAGCUCUGGAUCAGGCAUCAUCAAUCAUAAAAGAUAUAAUUGUUUUCAUUAUAUUAGAGUAUUCAAAGCAACUGAAUUUGAAAUCUUGGACAUAAUGAUACAACUUACAUGCAUAACCUAUUCAUUUGAUGUGAUAGACCAUGACUAAAUAUUAUUUUUAUUCAAAAAAGCAUGUUGUUUGUGCUGAAUUAUUUGAUUCAUGGCUUAUCUGAUUUGUUUGACUCGUGGCUUAUGCUGGUUGCAGCUUGAUGAAUUGUCAUGGUUUAAGUGUUCCUUUGAUAUUUGCCACAAUAUGCAUAAUUUCUAUGAAAAUGACUGGUGUAUGACAUUUGCAACUCUUGGGAAGGGCUGACCCAUCACAUCAUAACCAGAUAUUGGAGGAGCAGCUACUGUAAGUUUACUCCAUGAUUGUUUUGUGAAUAAUACUAAGAAUGCUAGGCAACUAAGUCAACGACGUAGGGACACUUUUCUUUUUGUUCUGAAAGAUGCUUUCCUUAUGUUUCAUUGAUACAUAUGCGAUAAUGAUACAUGACAAAAUGAGGACACCUUUCAACUGAUCUUCUCAUUUGCUGCCUCCUUCGGCUGCAUGCCCCCCCUAGGUUUCUGCUCUUGAGAAUAGUUCAUGCAACCCCCAGGACGAUCGCGCGGGAGGGAGGCUCAGUGUUGCAAUGACGCACCAUCGCCUUCUUGCACUUUUUAGUAGUAGAGAAUCCUCAUAUAGUUUAAUAUGUGAUGUAUCUCCAAUUUUUAUUGUAAAGAAACUUUGCAUAAAUUUUUGGGUUGUCAAUUUCUUUGAAGACACUAAUUUUUUGUGCAACCCAUCAAAAUAAACACCUGCAUAGUACAUAUUUAAGAGCAA